rnacentral:lncRNA from 1 species
CUCGAUUUCGAAACCGAUCUCAAGAUCAUCCUUUUAAGACCCUCUAAAGUCUAUAUUUGCAUAAAUUUCAUAUAAAUUUCGAAAUAUUUACACUUUAGUCCCUAAAAUCAAAGCUAACAAAUUUUUACUUUAUAAACUAGUCCUUUUUCAUAUCUAAGCUUAAAAUAAAUCAAUUUAGUACCAAAAACUUCAAGAUUCAGCAAUGAUAACUUUUAGAAAUUUUAACAGUUUCACAAUUAAUCCCUG